rnacentral:rRNA from 1 species
UGGGGGAUAUUGCACAAUGGGCGAAAGCCUGAUGCAGCGACGCCGCGUGGGGGAUGAAGGCCUUCGGGUUGUAAACUUCUUUUGCUCUGAACAAGGCAUGCCUUUGGGGUGUGUUGAGUGUAGGGGUUGAUUAGCGCCGGCUAACUACGUGCCAGCAGCCGCGGUAAUACGUAGGGCGCGAGCGUUGUCCGGAAUUAUUGGGCGUAAAGGGCUUGUAGGUGGCUGGUUGCGUCUGUCGUGAAAGCUCAUGGCUUAACUGUGGGUUUGCGGUGGGUACGGGCGGGCUUGAGUGCAGUAGGGGAGGCUGGAAUUCCUGGUGUAGCGGUGGAAUGCGCAGAUAUCAGGAGGAAUACCGGUGGCGAAGGCGGGUCUCUGGGCUGUUACUGACGCUGAGGAGCGAAAGCGUGGGGAGCGAACAGG